UACGAGGGGUGCAAGCGUUGUUCGGAAUCACUGGGCGUAAAGGGAGCGUAGGCGGAAAAUCAAGUCGACCGUACAAUACCGAGGCCCAACCUCGGAACUGCAGUCGAGACUGUUUUUCUUGAAUUAUUCAGAGGCAGGCGGAAUUCCAGGUGUAGCGGUGGAAUGCGUAGAGAUCUGGAAGAACACCAAUGGCGAAGGCAGCCUGCUGGGGAUUAAUUGACGCUGAGGCUCGAAAGCGUGGGUAGCAAACAGGAUUAGAUACCCUGGUAGUCCACGCUGUAAACGAUGUGUACUGGGCGUCGGUCGCAAGACCGGUGCCGCAGCUAACGCGCUAAGUACACCGCCUGGGGAGUACGCUCGCAAGAGUGAA
rnacentral:rRNA from 1 species